GACGAACGCUGGCGGCGUGCUUAACACAUGCAAGUCGAACGGAAAGGCCCUGCUUUUGUGGGGUGCUCGAGUGGCGAACGGGUGAGUAACACGUGAGUAACCUGCCCCUGACUUUGGGAUAACUUCAGGAAAUUGGGGCUAAUACCGGAUAGGAGCUCCUGCUGCAGGGUGGGGGUUGGAAAGUUUCGGCGGUUGGGGUUGGACUCGCGGCUUAUCAGCUUGUUGGUGGGGUAGUGGCUUACCAAGGCUUUGACGGGUAGCCGGCCUGAGAGGGUGACCGGCCACGUUGGGACUGAGAUACGGCCCAGCCUCCUACGGGACGCAGCGGUGGGGAAUAUUGCACUAUGGGCGGAGGCCUGAUGCAGCAACGCCGCGUGCGGGAUGACGGCCUUCGGGUUGUAAACCGCUUUCGCCUGUGACGAAGCGUGAGUGACGGUAAUGGGUAAAGAAGCACCGGCUAACUACGUG
rnacentral:rRNA from 1 species